rnacentral:rRNA from 1 species
GACGAACGCUGGCGGCGUGCUUAACACAUGCAAGUCGAACGGUGAAGCGCCUUCCUUUUUGGUGGGUGUGGAUGAGUGGCGAACGGGUGAGUAACACGUGAGUAACCUGCCCCCUUCUUCUGGAUAACCGCAUGAAAGUGUGGCUAAUACGGGAUAUUCUGGGUCUGUCGCAUGAUGGGUCUGGGAAAGAUAUUGUUUCGGUGGGGGAUGGGCUCGCGGCCUAUCAGCUUGUUGGUGGGGUGAUGGCCUACCAAGGCGGUGACGGGUAGCCGGCCUGAGAGGGUGGACGGUCACACUGGGACUGAGACACGGCCCAGACUCCUACGGGAGGCGGCAGUGGGGAAUAUUGCACAAUGGGCGCAAGCCUGAUGCAGCGACGCCGCGUGAGGGAUGGAGGCCUUCGGGUUGUGAACCUCUUUCGCCAGUGAAGCAGGCCUGCCUCGUUUGUGGGUGGGUUGACGGUAGCUGGAUAAGAAGCGCCGGCUAACUACGUG